UACAGAAGUCUCAAGCGUUGUUCGGAUUCAUUGGGCGUAAAGGGUGCGUAGGCGGCGCGGUAAGUCGGGUGUGAAAUCUCGGGGCUUAACUCCGAAACUGCAUUCGAUACUACCGUGCUUGAGGACUGGAGAGGAGACUGGAAUUUACGGUGUAGCGGUGAAAUGCGUAGAUAUCGUAAGGAAGACCAGUGGCGAAGGCGGGUCUCUGGACAGUUCCUGACGCUGAGGCACGAAGGCCAGGGGAGCAAACGGG
rnacentral:rRNA from 1 species